rnacentral:rRNA from 1 species
UACAGAGGGGGCCAGCGUUAUUCGGAAUUACUGGGCGUAAAGGGCGCGUAGGCGGCCUUCUAAGUCAUGCGUGAAAUCCCCGGGCUCAACCCGGGAACUGCGUCUGAUACUGGAAGGCUUGAAUCCGGGAGAGGGAUGCGGAAUUCCAGGUGUAGCGGUGAAAUGCGUAGAUAUCUGGAGGAACACCGGUGGCGAAGGCGGCAUCCUGGACCGGUAUUGACGCUGAGGCGCGAAAGCGUGGGGAGCGAUCCGG